AUCGCGCUAGUCUGGAUUCCAAGCCAUUCUGGCAUUCCUGGAAAUGAGACAGCAGAUUCGUGCGCUAAAGCUGCUGUACAGUCUGGUUGCAUCAAUCAUUUUGAAAUCUCCUCUCAAGACCUCCGUUCCCUAGCCAAAUCCUCGAUGGACAAAUCCUGGCACUCACAUUGGAAUUCAUCAAAAUCGGAGAAGGGUUGUGGUUUAACAACAAAAGCCUGACUAUUUUUUUUUUCUCUGUCUGCAAUAAUCAAUAUAACUUACAAUCUCAACCACA